GUGGGAAGCGCACGGCCGCAAAUCUGACUGCGCCGUCCACUAUUCGGGACGGCUUGGGAUUGCGGAAGUGC
rfam:Natronolimnobius innermongolicus JCM 12255 contig_12, whole genome shotgun sequence.